rnacentral:rRNA from 1 species
AGAGUUUGAUCAUGGCUCAGGAUGAACGCUAGCGGGAGGCUUAACACAUGCAAGUCGAGGGGUAGAGGCAGCAAUGCCUUGAGACCGGCGCACGGGUGAGUAACGCGUAUGCAACCUGCCCUUUACAGGGGGAUAGCCCGGAGAAAUCCGGAUUAAUACCCCAUGGUAUUAUUUUCCUGCAUGGGGAGAUAAUUAAAGCUGAGGCGGUAAAGGAUGGGCAUGCGUGGCAUUAGCUAGUUGGCGGGGUAACGGCCCACCAAGGCGACGAUGCCUAGGGGUUCUGAGAGGAAGAUCCCCCACACUGGUACUGAGACACGGACCAGACUCCUACGGGAGGCAGCAGUGAGGAAUAUUGGUCAAUGGGCGCGAGCCUGAACCAGCCAUCCCGCGUGCAGGAAGAAUGCCCUAUGGGUUGUAAACUGCUUUUGCGCAUGAAGAACGGUACCCUCGUGAGGGUAUGUGACGGUAAUGCGUGAAUAAGCACCGGCUAACUCCGUGCCAGCAGCCGCGGUAAUACGUAGGGUGCAAGCGUUAAUCGGAAUUACUGGGCGUAAAGCGUGCGCAGGCGGUUUUGUAAGUCUGACGUGAAAUCCCCGGGCUUAACCUGGGAAUUGCGUUGGAGACUGCAAGGCUGGAGUCUGGCAGAGGGGGGUAGAAUUCCACGUGUAGCAGUGAAAUGCGUAGAGAUGUGGAGGAACACCGAUGGCGAAGGCAGCCCCCUGGGUCAAGACUGACGCUCAUGCACGAAAGCGUGGGGAGCAAACAGGAUUAGAUACCCUGGUAGUCCACGCCCUAAACGAUGUCUACUAGUUGUCGGGUCUUAAUUGACUUGGUAACGCAGCUAACGCGUGAAGUAGACCGCCUGGGGAGUACGGUCGCAAGAUUAAAACUCAAGGAUGACGG